UACAGAGGGUGCAAGCGUUGUUCGGAAUUACUGGGCGUAAAGCGCGUGUAGGUGGCGAUGUAAGUCGGGUGUGAAAUCCCUCGGCUCAACCGAGGAAGUGCACUCGAUACUGUGUCGCUUGAGUGUUGGAGGGGAUGGCGGAAUUCCCGGUGUAGAGGUGAAAUUCGUAGAUAUCGGGAGGAACACCUGUGGCGAAGGCGGCCAUCUGGACAACUACUGACACUGAGACGCGAAAGCGUGGGUAGC
rnacentral:rRNA from 1 species